rnacentral:misc_RNA from 1 species
GUGAAUCAUCAAAUCUUUGAACGCACCUUGCACUCUCUGGUAUUCCGAGGAGUAUGCUUGCUUGAGUGUUAGUUUGUUACAAUCGUCACAAGAAUUUUUUACGGAUCUGGAUUUUCCAAGAGUUAUAUUUUUGGUAAUCUAAAAUUUAUCAUAACAAUAGGAGAUAUUGGAAAUGUUUAUUUUUGAUUCAUUAACAAUUAUUACCAAGUUUGUUACGUCGUGUUAUUUUCCUAAUUUCUUAAUUAGGUAAAGUAAUACAAUUUGGAAAUCUGACCUCGCGUCAAGUAAGAAUACCCGCUGA